rnacentral:misc_RNA from 2 species
UUAAGGGAGACCUACUUCCUCGAGACCGAACCCAUUGUUAUUAGGUCCGAAGAGAAGUCAUCCCAAGGUCGAGCGAGAUUGAAUGUGGGGCUUUCAAACUAUUUUAGGUUUUCCAGUGAAGAAGCCGAUCGCGAAUGUUCGGUUGUUCUCCCUGACAAAGGGAGCCAGCGAUCGCUAAAUUAGUGGAAGUGGAUGGUGAAUGAGUUGGGAGUGAGCUGCCAGCAGGGAUCACCGGAAACCCCACCUGCUAAGUACGGUCGUCCCUCCUGACAAAGGGAGCCAGCGAUCGCUAAAUUAAGAGAAGUGGACGGUGAACGAGUUGAGACCCAGACUUCAACGAAUAUGAGCGGCAAACACCCCCACAUAGUACGGUUGUCCUUCCCACAAACAGAAAUAGAUUCGUUAGAGUAGGGAAGUGAGCCAAAGAGUUAGCCGGUCAGCGAGUGAACCGAUACUAACGGCAGAUUUACCACUACCUUGGAUAUCUACUUCAGCAACUUGUCUAGUGAUGAACUAGAGAGCCUGCUGGACUUCGUAUCCAGCCAAGCACCUUGAAAAUUGCAUAGCAACAAAAAUUCUGUCAGGUAGUUGCAAUUGACUGAAAAAGUGAAUUGCGAACACAGACACCAAUGUAAGAAAAAGU